AUUGAACGCUGGCGGCAGGCCUAACACAUGCAAGUCGAGCGGCAGCGGGUCCUUCGGGAUGCCGGCGAGCGGCGGACGGGUGAGUAAUGCCUAGGAAUCUGCCUGGUAGUGGGGGAUAACGUUCGGAAACGGACGCUAAUACCGCAUACGUCCUACGGGAGAAAGUGGGGGAUCUUCGGACCUCACGCUAUCAGAUGAGCCUGGGUCGGAUUAGCUAGUUGGUGGGGUAAAGGCUCACCAAGGCGACGAUCCGUAACUGGUCUGAGAGGAUGAUCAGUCACACUGGAACUGAGGCACGGUCCAGACUCCUACGGGAGGCAGCAGUGGGGAAUAUUGGACAAUGGGCGAAAGCCUGAUCCAGCCAUGCCGCGUGUGUGAAGAAGGUCUUCGGAUUGUAAAGCACUUUAAGUUGGGAGGAAGGGCAGCUAGUUAAUACCUGGUUGUUUUGACGUUACCAACAGAAUAAGCACCGGCUAACUUCGUGCCAGCAGCCGCCGUAACAC
rnacentral:rRNA from 1 species